UACAGAGGGUGCGAGCGUUAAUCGGAUUUACUGGGCGUAAAGGGCGCGUAGGCGGCCACCGCAAGUCGACUGUGAAAUCUCCGGGCUUAACCCGGAAAGGUCAGCCGAUACUGCGGGGCUAGAGUGCAGAAGGGGCAACUGGAAUUCUCGGUGUAGCGGUGAAAUGCGUAGAUAUCGAGAGGAACACCUGCGGCGAAGGCGGGUUGCUGGGCUGACACUGACGCUGAGGCGCGAAAGCUAGGGGAGCGAACGGG
rnacentral:rRNA from 1 species